GACGAACGCUGGCGGCGUGCUUAACACAUGCAAGUCGAACGCUGAAGCUCAGCUUGCUGGGUGGAUGAGUGGCGAACGGGUGAGUAACACGUGAGUAACCUGCCCUCUUCUUUGGGAUAACGCCCGGAAACGGGUGCUAAUACUGGAUAUUCACUGAUUCUCGCAUGGGGGUUGGUGGAAAGGUUUUUUCUGGUGGGGGAUGGGCUCGCGGCCUAUCAGCUUGUUGGUGGGGUGAUGGCCUACCAAGGCUUUGACGGGUAGCCGGCCUGAGAGGGUGACCGGUCACAUUGGGACUGAGAUACGGCCCAGACCCCUACGGGAGGCAGCAGUGGGGAAUAGUGCACAAUGGGCGAAAGCCUGAUGCAGCGACGCCGCGUGAGGGAUGGAGGCCUUCGGGUUGUAAACCUCUUUCGCUCAUGGUCAAGCCGCAGCUUUGGGUUGUGGUGAGGGUAGUGGGUAAAGAAGCGCCGGCUAACUACGUG
rnacentral:rRNA from 1 species